rnacentral:rRNA from 1 species
UGGGGAAUAUUGCACAAUGGGCGCAAGCCUGAUGCAGCCAUGCCGCGUGUAUGAAGAAGGCCUUCGGGUUGUAAAGUACUUUCAGCGGGGAGGAAGGCGAUAAGGUUAAUAACCUUGUCGAUUGACGUUACCCGCAGAAGAAGCACCUGCUAACUCCGUGCCAGCAGCCGCGGUAAUACGGAGGGUGCAAGCGUUAAUCGGAAUUACUGGGCGUAAAGCGCACGCAGGCGGUCUGUCAAGUCGGAUGUGAAAUCCCCGGGCUCAACCUGGGAACUGCAUUCGAAACUGGCAGGCUAGAGUCUUGUAGAGGGGGGUAGAAUUCCAGGUGUAGCGGUGAAAUGCGUAGAGAUCUGGAGGAAUACCGGUGGCGAAGGCGGCCCCCUGGACAAAGACUGACGCUCAGGUGCGAAAGCGUGGGGAGCAAACA